AGAUAAAGGAAAAUCCAAUUUAAUCCUAACCUGGUUUUGGCUCCUCUUCUGUGACAUUGAUGGAUUGCUGCUGACUGAUAUUUGGUAGAGUUAAUAAUACAGUCUGAAAAUAAAGGGAACUUUUAACAGUGUUCUUGAAAUCAGGAAAGAAAACUAAGUGAUCAUUCAGUUUUUGAUCAUUUCGAUUUUGUGUUCACUUCUAACAGCCUUUACUUUCAGAUGGGGUAGAGUACCUAUUCUGUUAAAAGUCAGUCCCUUUGAAGCUAUUUUGAGCAGAAACAGAAAACCUUGGUUUACUUUGAAAAACCUUAGGGAGGAAGGGCCAGGCCUGUUGCUUCUGACUUUUGCGAAGCUGAAAGUGCCAUUAGUUGCUGGGAACGAAUACAACAGAGCAAGUGUUUUGCCUUCUUCAGCAAGGUCUUGCCUGCAGCACCUGGAGCUGCCCUGAACCCUGGGACGUGUGGUGUUUGGAGGAGUUGCUGCUGGAAUGGAGGAACAAAUGCUUUGGGUUACCUGGCUGUAGGAACUGAGCUGAGCUGAGGUUUUCAGUGACAAACGGCCCAGCUGGGCAGAGCUCCCGUGGUACAGAGGCUGCUGGCUGGCAGCGGCACGUUGCGUUCCAGGCAUCGCCAGGCUCCGGGCAGCCAGGCUGGCUCCUCUCUUUAAGUGGAUGUCUGUGACACUGCGGGAUGAAUUUGGCUGAAUGCCUGUCAUGGCUGAAGGGUUUUGAAUUACUUGAGAGGACACAGUAGCUGAGGAAGAGCUGAAAGGUGAUAGUCGAUGUGGUCUGUGUUUCCUGGGCAGGCACUCAUCCUUGACACAGCCCAGUAAAGGACAGGGGACACACCAGUAACUUCAGAGCCUUUGGAACCGCCAGCCAUGCAGAAGCAGCAACCGUUCUCUACCUCUUCCCCCAGGCCCAAAGCAGCCUCUCUAAUAUUGGAGUCUUUCCCACUCUUCAAGUUCAAAGAAGUGUAAGGGAUCCAAGCUAGGAAUAGUUGUAGGGUAAGAUAAGAUGUGGAAUACAAGGUGGGAGAAGCCAGCAAAUCCUCUGUUUUGCUGUAGCAUUUAAACACAACCCAGAACUGUGCCCUGGAAAACUGUUGGAGCCUUGCGGGAGGAUCUGUGGGCUAUACCAGAGUUUAUUUGCAUUGAUUUUCAGAUAGUGUCAUACCAUAAUGGAAUGACUGCUGCUCUUCACAGGUAGGAGUUGGAGAAGAGCAGCAGAGAAAUAAAAGCAGCAGGAGAGUUGGUGUUACUUCUAGAAAGAGCAGGCAGUGUGUGAGAGGAAAGAAAGAGAUCCAGUCCAGCCCGAAGCCUCUGACUCAUAGGAAGGAGUGAGGUCAGUCUUUGGAGAGGAAUCAUCUCAGGACUUCUGCUGCUCUCCUGUAGUUUGUUCUCUCGUCCUUUAGUUUGUCUCCUCAAAGCAUGUUUGGUGAACAAACUCCUGUGCUUCACCUACAUAUGCUCUUUCCUUUCAUCCCUCUUUGUCACAAAGGAAUCUGAGAGGCCCCGAGGAUCCCAGCUUCAGCAGCAUGCUCCAUGGAUGGAGAGGAUCUGCGUGGUCUCAGCCACUUGCUCCAGGGUGGCCCACAGCACAAGGAGGGGAAUUACAGUGGGUGGCUGUCUGCAGGCAUGCCCUGCAGUCCAGGAGCUAGAAAUUACAACCCCUCGGAGGGAAGCUCAGGAGGCAAAUUUAUCUGCAUGCAGCAGCUGGGAAAAAGAAGUAGGGCAAUGGGGAAGUCCCACCUCCCUUAAGGAAGAAUGGAGCAGCUUUGCUGUUUGCCUCUCCCAGGGUGUGGAGAGCAACACUUGUGUAUUGUAAGAAGGUUCCCCAGCUGGUCUUUGACCUAAUAAACUCCAGGACAAAUGAAAUACAUUUCAUUAUCAGCAUCUAUCACUGACGUAGGCCUCUCAGUCCCAUAAAAUUUCAUUGCAUACUCACCUGUACAUGGUACUGUGAAGUCUCAUGCAUAAUGAUAUUGGAGUUGGAAUAUUUUUUCCUUUGUUCUGAAAAAAAAAAAGACAACAAGCUUUCAGUUCAACGUCUGUUUAUCAGAAUAUUAGGGAGAAUUAUAGUUCUCAUGGUGGGGUGCUAUUCUCUGAGCUUCCAGUUUCAAUCAGUGUUGAGAAUCAAGGACAUCAACUUUUGUCUCGAAGAUUGGCAAAUUAGGUGUAUAGGAUGCACAUUCAAGUUGUAUCCUGUAACGUCACUGCUAAUUUGAUUCCAGCACUGGUUAUGGAGGAAAUGAAAUCUUGUGUACGGGGAAGCCUCAGACAACAAGUGACAAGGACACUCGUGGAAGAGGGCUGGGAAGAAGAGGAACAGGCUGAGCAGGCCGGCACAGGGCUGUUACGUGCAUGUGGCAAGAAAUAAAAUCCAGCCACAAUCCUCCAGUUUGGACACAACAGCCCAUUUACAUGUCCUCUAGACUCGAGAAGGAACCCUCUGCGCCGCUGUGACGUUGCUGGUUUGAUUUCUUACAUUUCUUACUGGCAAGGCACAGUGUAGGGCUGAUAGGAAGGGCUGUACGGAUCAAGGCCAACCAGUCAGAGCCUGGCUUUUUUGAACAAUAUUUUUAUGAGGCAACAAAUCUUUAUUACUUCCUGCAUUUCUCACUGGAAAGCAGCACUAAGAGCAAUUGGAAAAAAAUACAUUGCUUGGAUUUUAAUGAGGCUAUGGCAUACAAUCCUAUAAGAUUUUACCCUGUCAGGUUUUACUCAUAAAUUAAUUGGUAUGUGUCCAGUGAGUCCUCUACUCCUCUACCAGGUCUCAAGUCUCAGAGUGAUUUGUGACUAACCAAACUGAAAACAUCUUCCUCACCAGCAGAGGACAUCCUCUGAUCUCUGGUUUGCUUAGAAAAUGUAAUUGUCAUGUUAUAUGUUUUCACCCAUCCUAAGCUGGAAAUAGCUUGUGUUAUAAUAUCCUGGCCUCUGCAGCAAUAGUCACAACCAAGAGGAUUUCAUGGCACAGCAAACUCUGGGGCUGCUUGUGUUUUAAAUAAAUAUAUAUUAUUCUUA